UACGAAGGGGGCUAGCGUUGUUCGGAAUUACUGGGCGUAAAGCGCGCGCAGGCGGUCUUCCAAGUCAGUGGUGGAAAGCCUGGAGCUCAACUCCAGAACUGCCAUUGAAACUGUUAGACUUGAGUACGAGAGAGGUGAGUGGAAUUCCCAGUGUAGAGGUGAAAUUCGUAGAUAUUCGCAAGAACACCCAGUGGCGAAGGCGGCUCACUGGCCCGAUACUGACGCUGAGGCACGAAAGCGUGGGGAGCAAACAGGG
rnacentral:rRNA from 1 species